rnacentral:rRNA from 1 species
UACGAAGGGGGCUAGCGUUGUUCGGAAUCACUGGGCGUAAAGCGCGUGUAGGUGGGUAUGCAAGCCAGGGGUGAAAGCCCAGAGCUCAACUCUGGAAUUGCCUUUGGAACUGCAUAUCUAGAGUCUUGUAGGGGGUAGUGGAAUUCCUAGUGUAGAGGUGAAAUUCGUAGAUACUAGGAGGAACACCGGUGGCGAAGGCGGCUACCUGGACGAGAACUGACACUGAGACGCGAAAGCGUGGGGACCAAACAGG